rnacentral:rRNA from 1 species
GACGGAGGAUGCAAGCGUUAUCCGGAAUGAUUGGGCGUAAAGCGUCCGCAGGUGGCAGUUCAAGUCUGCUGUCAAAGACCGGGGCUUAACUUCGGAAAGGCAGUGGAAACUGAACAGCUAGAGUAUGGUAGGGGGCAGAGGGAAUUCCUGGUGUAGCGGUGAAAUGCGUAGAUAUCAGGAGGAACACCGGUGGCGAAGGCGGCUUCCUGGACCACAACUGACGCUGAGGCGCGAAAGCUAGGGGAGCAAACAGG